CCUACGGGUGGCAGCAGUGGGGAAUAUUGGGCAAUGGGCGCAAGCCUGACCCAGCAACGCCGCGUGAAGGAAGAAGGCUUUCGGGUUGUACACUUCUUUUGUCAUGGAAGAGUAGAAGACGGUACCUGACGAAUAAGCCACGGCUAACUACGUGCCAGCAGCCGCGGUAAUACGUAGGUGACAAGCGUUGUCCGGAUUUACUGGGUGUAAAGGGCGUGUAGCCGGGUUGACAAGUCAGAUGUGAAAUCCUGCGGCUUAACCGCAGAACUGCAUUUGAAACUGUUGGUCUUGAGUACUGGAGAGGCAGACGGAAUUCCUAGUGUAGCGGUGAAAUGCUUAGAUAUUAGGAGGAACACCAGUGGCGAAGGCGGUCUGCUGGACAGCAACUGACGGUGAGGCGCGAAAGCGUGGGGAGCAAACAGGAUUAGAUACCCUAGUAGUC
rnacentral:rRNA from 1 species